AAAGAUUAAGCCAUGCAAGUGGUUAUAUUAACCCGACAGUUUAAAUAAGUGUUAAAUGCUACAUUAAACUUAUCACGCAUACCGAUUUUGUUUACCGUAGUAACAAUUUCAGCGUGAAUCACCUUUACAGUGAAUCACUGGAAUUUACCCAUUCAGUAUCACUUACGCAACUGCAGACAGCUGCUUAAUACAGUCACACUUGUCUUGACUUGGCGUAAUAGAAAUUUUCAUUGGAACACCCGUUCGCGGGCCGACAGUGAUUUUUUUUAUUUUUUUAUUUUUUUUUGUUGCCAUUACACGCAUACAAAAUUCUUUGAUUUCUCUGUAUCGCUUAUUCUUAACGACAUGCGUUACACUGUGACAAUUUUCUUUAUGGAUAACUCAGGGAAAGUUUGGCUAAUACGUACGAGUAAUUUUACCACACAAUCACUUUUUUGCAAUUGCAUUACGCGUAUCUACAACAAUCACUACUCAGCACUCAAUGGUAAACUUUGGCUACGUUCUGCGUUAGUCAGUUUAAAGUUUAACCGCAACAUGAGAGACAUUGAGCACGCACGUGUCGUAUCUUCGGAUACUUCACAUCACGCUGAGCAGACUUUGCGAAGUUUACUUUGCGAAGCAUGUCAUACAAGCAUCUACAGCAUCAAGUCACAGGGUUGGCAAGUGUAUUUUUGAACCUUCAAAGCAGUCACGCAUACGGAAGAGUAGUUUCUGAUCCCAUAGAAGGAGCACCGUACAAUGAGAGACCGCUCUUAGUUCUAAGGAACGCAGCAGGCGCGUAAAUUGCCCAAUGCUAGUACCCUACAAUCUACAAAUUGUAUUUACAUGCGUUACAACAAUUUACAACAUUACAAGUUUACACAUAUAUCAUAUAACACUUUUAUUUUUUCUGUUGAUGUUAAUACACCUACAUCAGUAGAAUACAUCCUUGUUCGUUGUUUAUUCAGCAUUUGAAAAAUAUUAAUUUAUUUAUUAUUUACUGAGGCAGUGACAAGCUGUAACGGUUGAGUAUAAAAAUGACGAGUGUCUGGCAUUGCCGCUCUUUCGGGAGCUUGGCAAGUUGCCGACGCUUUGUGUGCUCAAUUGGAAUGCGGUGAGUUUAAGCAACUCAGAACCUUUGGACGGUGUUAGUAAAAUUUCACUGUUUGAGUAUSUUGAAUUUCAAGUGGAGGGCAAGUCUGGUGC
rnacentral:rRNA from 1 species